GAUGUGUGUGUGCGUGACUUCGAUCAGGAGAAAGAACAGAAGGAUGAACCCUAGCUCUUAAGAACAUCAACACAAAUUCAGCCCAAUCAGAGCAAAAAUCGAAUGGAAAAUCAUGCAUGAAUGAAGAAUUAGCAUCACCUAACAUUAACAAACAUGUGCUUGAAAGAAUAAGAACCAUGUCAAGAUGGACCAUAUCAUGGGAGGCAAACGGGUCAAAGAGGAGGCAAAGAAACUAGCAUAAACAUGGCGAGCACAAGGUAAGUGACUUCCGACUCACUUCUUAGUAUGCAUAUAGAGUUUUUUAUGUUUAUGAAUGUGGAGGAAAUUAUGUAAGGUUAUGAAAUAAUGUAAGUUUUAAGAUAAAGUAUUGAUCUAGUUAGAUGAGGGUAGAUAUGUAAGUCGAAGGUAUUUUGAUGUGAAUACACGGGUUGAAUAAGCAUGUAUAAGUAAGGUAGCGGUAAUGAAAUUCGUGAGGAUUAAGGACCCGGGGCAAGGAUUCUUAGUCUAAUAUGUAGGGAAAUGUUUUACGGACAAUUAGAAAUAAGUUUCAAGUGAAACGGACGCAAAACGAGCAAGUAAUGCGAGUUUUAGUUUUUAAAUGGUAGGCUGAACUGGGCUCUAUCGUAGCUUACGGUAGCCACCGUAAGCUACGGUAGGUUCUGGGCCUUUCUUCCUGCCGUAAGGCAGUAGAUAUGUACCGUAAGGGUUUGUGGCCACCGUAAGCUACGGUAGCCACCGUAGCUUACGGUGGAGGUCAGGUGCACUUAUAAGAUUUCGUAAUCAUUCGUUUUUCCUUCGAGUUCGGGCCCCGUGAACCCAUUCCAAGCCUUGAUAAGUUUUUAUAAUGCACCUCAACCCUACCAAAGGGCUUGGCAAGUUAAGGGUGCGAAUGGAACUCAUUCUCAAAGAUCUGAAGCAUACCCGAAUGAUAUUUUAAAAGUAUUAUUGAUGUGUGAGUAGUAACGGGAUACGCGAGUGAGUAUGCGGGGCUAUGAAUUAAGUACGUGGGUACGUAUGUGUGUAUGUAUGUAUAGUUUUCACUAGUGAGGGUAUGCAUGGGUAUAGUUAUGAUUCGUUUUAUAUGUGGAUGCAUGUAAGUAGGUAUAAAUGUAUGCUAGUAGGCAUGUAAGUAUGUUCAUGGGUUUUCAAUACGACUGAGUAGUGAUGCUAUUAACAGUGUACCUUGAGAAUAAAGUAUAAUGCAGGUACAAUGUUGUAAUCUCACCAUGGAAAUGGAUACUCAGACGGAAGCGCCUUACAAAGAGGAAUGACGGAAUGGAAAGUAAUAGAGUAUGAAUCUUGAUACGUUUAUAAAGUGUACUAACGUGUGAAUUGGUAUGGUGAGUGUAGGUUGUACGAGGCACGGAGUAUCACUAAGGAGUGAAGAUCAAGGAUCGAGUCACAAGUUAGAUUGUACGGGAUGCUCGAAUAAGUAAUUAGCAAACAUAGUUUAUGUUUCCAUUUUGCAGAUGAGAUCUAUUGAUGUAUUAUUGUAAGAUUGUCACGUUUAAAGGGACUUCGAGUAAAUUAAGACGUUUUUAAAUGAAAGAAAUUUUAUG
rnacentral:lncRNA from 1 species